AGCAACGUGACGCAGUGGAAGCGUGCAAGGCUCAUAACCUUGAAGUCGUAAGAUCGAAACUUACCGUUGCUA